GACGAACGCUGGCGGCGUGCUUAACACAUGCAAGUCGAACGGUGAAGCUCCAGCUUGCUGGAGUGGAUCAGUGGCGAACGGGUGAGUAACACGUGAGCAACCUGCCCCUGACUCUGGAAUAAGCGCUGGAAACGGCGUCUAAUACUGGAUACGAGAAGGGUCCGCAUGGGCACUUUCUGGAAAGUUUUUCGGUUGGGGAUGGGCUCGCGGCCUAUCAGCUUGUUGGUGAGGUAAUGGCUCACCAAGGCGAUGACGGGUAGCCGGCCUGAGAGGGCGACCGGCCACACUGGGACUGAGACACGGCCCAGACUCCUACGGGAGGCAGCAGUGGGGAAUAUUGCACAAUGGGCGAAAGCCUGAUGCAGCGACGCCGCGUGAGGGAUGACGGCCUUCGGGUUGUAAACCUCUUUCAGCAGGGAAGAAGCGAAAGUGACGGUACCUGCAGAAGAAGCACCGGCUAACUACGUG
rnacentral:rRNA from 1 species